CUACUCUCUACUAUAUAACUUGUUUGGCCUAGCAUUUCAGUCAAUCUCUCAAUGAUUAAUUGAGGUCGCCGGUGGGGUAUAUUAAAUUAUAAUUAUGCUUUAGUUAUAAAUCUUUUCCCUUCCAAAUGGCAAUGUUAUAAUCCAUUAGGUACCAUUUUAGCAAAUUUGAAAGUCACAAAAGUCACGCGUGGUCAUGUGACGCUAAAAAGGUAAAUUGCGUCGAGCUCCGUUAACCUAAUUUCUUAAUUUCAUAUGUGAUGGAAAGAAUAUUGGCCAUCCUGUUUUUGGAUUGUUCCGAUCUCCUUGACCUCAGAAUUGGGCGACAUGCCUUCUAGUUGGUCAAGUUUAGAAAUAAUGUCAGAAAUCAUUGAAGGAACUGCACUUAUGAUCUCGACGACAGACUAUCUAGCUCGAUCAUGAAUACACAAUCAAUGUAAUGAACAUCGUUGGGAGAUGUUACCAAGUAAUUACUAUGCCUCUCAUCGAAUAAGGUAACUAAUAUUCACCCCAUCUUAUAUAUAGAGGUGAAUGGAGGAUCCUCAAGUAAACUGUCUCAAGCUCCC
rnacentral:lncRNA from 1 species